UACGUAGGGGGCAAGCGUUGUCCGGAUUUAUUGGGCGUAAAGAGCGUGUAGGCGGCCAUACAGGUCAGCUGUGAAAACUCGAGGCUCAACCUCGAGACGUCGGUUGAAACCGUAUGGCUAGAGUCCGGAAGAGGAGAGUGGAAUUCCCGGUGUAGCGGUGAAAUGCGCAGAUAUCGGGAAGAACACCCGUGGCGAAGGCGGCUCUCUGGGCCUUACCUGACACUGAGGAGCGAAAGCGUGGGGAGCGAACAGG
rnacentral:rRNA from 1 species